UGGGGAAUAUUGGGCAAUGGGGGAAACCCUGACCCAGCAACGCCGCGUGAGGGAAGAAGGUUUUCGGAUUGUAAACCUCUGUCAACGGGGACGAAAGAAAUGACGGUACCCGAGGAGGAAGCCCCGGCUAACUACGUGCCAGCAGCCGCGGUAAUACGUAGGGGGCGAGCGUUGUCCGGAAUUACUGGGCGUAAAGGGUGCGUAGGCGGUAGUCUAAGUCAGAUGUGAAAUCCCCGGGCUUAACCCGGGUGGUGCAUUUGAAACUGGGCUGCUGGAGUGCAGGAGAGGGGAGCGGAAUUCCUAGUGUAGCGGUGAAAUGCGUAGAUAUUAGGAGGAACACCAGUGGCGAAGGCGGCUUUCUGGACUGUAACUGACGCUGAGGCACGAAAGCGUGGGGAGCAAACAG
rnacentral:rRNA from 1 species